AUCUAUGGGAAGCUUGGAAGUUUCCAGGAAUCAUUUAUCGCACCUUGGGAUCUGGAUGCAUGUAAAAAGGAGCCAGAAAAAUACCUGCGUAAGGUGUACAUUAAGACAAAGCAAAGAAAAUUGCUUAGCAGUAUGGAAAAGGAGAUCGUUCAAAGAAUGAAGUCUAUCCAUGAUUCCCUCAGCAAAUCUGUCGAAGCAACUAUGAUGACAGCUUAUAGAGAUUUUUCUGGGACUGGGACAUACACUCUGGCAAAUAUUCAGGACACACUGAAGGAAAAAAUUCAGUCUUCCAAAAAUACCAUUUUUCAGCAAGCUAUGAACGAGAUGCUGAGACAGUUUGAAGACCUCAAGACGUGGACUGUGAAAGAACUUGAGACACAGAUGACGGCACACAUGAGGGU